rnacentral:rRNA from 1 species
AAUAUUCCGCAAUGGGCGCAAGCCUGACGGAGCAAUGCCGAGUGCAGGAUGAAGCGGCUUCGCCGUGUAAACUGCUGUCAGGGGUCAGAAACACUGAUCGACCCCAGAGGAAGAGGCGGCUAACUCUGUGCCAGCAGCCGCGGUAAGACAGAGGCCUCAAGCGUUAAUCGGAAUCACUGGGCUUAAAGGGUGCGCAGGCGGCUCGGAAAGUGUCCCGUGAAAUCCCACGGCUCAACCGUGGAACUGCGGGGCAAACUACCGGGCUUGAGGAAGGUAGAGGCGGGUGGAACGAUAGGUGGAGCGGUGGAAUGCGUAGAGAUCUAUCGGAACGCCGAAGGUGAAGACAGCCCGCUGGGCCUUUCCUGACGCUCAGGCACGAAAGCGUGGGGAGCAAACCGG